UAGCAAGCUACCCAUUUAGAUCCUCAAGAGCAUCACACACCUCUAGAACGGACAGAAGUUCUAAACCUGGAGUGGAGUAAUAGUUUAAGUUCACAUGCUACUUCGAUGAUAAUGGCCAUGGUUGCUUUGGGCCUUCUUCCACCGCUGGUGGUGUUGGUUACUAUGGCAUCACUGGUCACACCUAUUCACGGUUCAUGCUCGUCAGGGGACUCUUCCUAUGCAACUACUAUGUCUUACAGUCAAUCCUACAGUCAGAGGUACACAACCCGUUGCGGCUUCUUAAACUUGCA